CAGUCGCCACGGGAAUACGUAGGUGGCAAGUGUUGUCCGGAGUUAUUGGGCGUAAAGGGCUCGCAGGCGGUUUCUUAAGUCUGAUGUGAAAGCCCCCGGCUCAACCGGGGAGGGUCAUUGGAAACUGGGAAACUUGAAUGCAGAAGAGGAGAGUGGAAUUCCACGUGUAGCGGUGAAAUGCGUAGAGAUGUGGAGGAACACCAGUGGCGAAGGCGACUCUCUGGUCUGUAACUGACGCUGAGGAGCGAAAGCGUGGGGAGCGAACAGGAUUAGAUACCCCCGUAGUCCCUGUCUCUUAUAC
rnacentral:rRNA from 1 species